UGAAUCAUUGCUUCUCCACCUGGGCCU
rnacentral:piRNA from 1 species